UACGUAGGGUGCAAGCGUUGUCCGGAAUUAUUGGGCGUAAAGAGCUCGUAGGCGGUUUGUCGCGUCUGCUGUGAAAACGCGAGGCUCAACCUCGCGCCUGCAGUGGGUACGGGCAGACUAGAGUGCGGUAGGGGAGAUUGGAAUUCCUGGUGUAGCGGUGAAAUGCGCAGAUAUCAGGAGGAACACCGGUGGCGAAGGCGGGACUCUGGGCCGAUACUGACGCUGAGGAGCGAAAGCGUGGGGAGCAAACAGG
rnacentral:rRNA from 1 species